GGCACCGGCGAGAUUCGAACCGUGAUCUCCUGUUUAAUAGACAGGCGCUUUAACCAACUAGCCGGCGC
rnacentral:tRNA from 13 species